AGUUAGCCGGUGCUUCCUCUCCAGGUACCGUCAUUGUAUUCUUCCCUGGUGACAGCAGUUUACAACCCAAAGGCCUUCAUCCUGCACGCGGCAUUGCUCCGUCAGGCUUUCGCCCAUUGCGGAAGAUUCUCGA
rnacentral:rRNA from 1 species